rnacentral:rRNA from 1 species
AAAGGGCGCGUAGGCGGAUGGCACAGUCAGAUGUGAAAUUCCCGGGCUUAACCUGGGGGCUGCAUUUGAUACGUGUUGUCUAGAGUGAGGAAGAGGGUCGUGGAAUUCCCAGUGUAGAGGUGAAAUUCGUAGAUAUUGGGAAGAACACCGGUGGCGAAGGCGGCGACCUGGUCCUUGACUGACGCUGAGGCGCGAAAGCGUGGGGAGCAAACAGGAUUAGAUACCCGUGU